rnacentral:snoRNA from 1 species
GCAGGGCUGAAGACUGUGGUUUUCUUUUUUUAAUCAGUGGUUUACAUAGCCAGACACCAGGCAGAAAAGAAAAGAGUGGUCUUCCUUUUAAAGUGGUUAUAAUCGUGUGCUAAGUUCCUCCCCCCCCCCCAUAACAUAUCAUUAUUUAAGGGAAAUACACAG